rnacentral:rRNA from 1 species
UACGGAGGGUGCAAGCGUUGUCCGGAAUCACUGGGCGUAAAGGGCGCGUAGGCGGCUCAUGAAGGCUGUGGUGAAAGUCCGGGGCUCAACCUCGGAUCGGCCGUGGCGACUCGUGGGCUGGAGCACUGUAGAGGCGGGUGGAAUUCCGGGUGUAGCGGUGGAAUGCGUAGAGAUCCGGAAGAACACCGGUGGCGAAGGCGGCCCGCUGGGCAGUGACUGACGCUGAGGUGCGAAAGCGUGGGGAGCGAACGGG